CUCGCCGCACGCUAUGCCUCCCGAUCUCUCAUCUCGCGACCUUUCGUAGACGACGACAUCGACCAUGAUGCAGCCGCUUCCCAUGGCCAUGGGGAAGGCAUGUCGCUUACCUCUGGCAGCGCGUGCUUCGCCUCCACCAACGGCUUGCACUUUGGCUCACCCAGUGCUGCUUCUCCUAUAAAACCAAUGGGGCGAUCACUGGACGGUGGCGGCGCCUGCAUAGGAUGGCGAAUGAUUUGGUGCAAAACGCCGGUUCUCUGGGAUGCGUAGGCGACUAAGAUGACACUUGGCGGCCUGCACUGAGGAGAGCGACACGAAUGCUGGAGCUUUAAUUCUUUUUCCCUGUUCCAUCAGUGCCCUGUGAUUGCUCGAGGGUUAAUUCAAUCUAUCGUUUCAAUCUCAUGCACGCAUAGUAUCUUGUUGUUGACUGAAUCUUUACUGAUUUGGGGAUUAUUUGUAGGGUUCAUACGUGAGGCUGAAUUGGGGAAGAAAGGAGCUGUCAGAUGACACGGUUCAGGUUCAGUCGGUUGGUGAAUCCAAGUGCUAUUUUCUCCGCAUGCUCUAAAUUUUUCAUUGAGAUUAAGUUUAACUGUAUCAGAAUCUUAGUGUGUAAAUAUUUUAUUCAAUUCUGAUCAAGUCAUUUGAGGAUUGAAUAUCUGUAUCCAAAUACUGAGCUAGCUUGCUCUAAAAUCAAAUUUGCAAAACCUAGGUACCUUGGAGAUUGGGAGUCAUGCUAGAUUAGUACUAUUUUUUACUCUAAAUAUUGAGUAUGUUUCCCAUAACACCGCCAAAUGCAAUAGUCUUGUGUAGUACUACCUCUGGUCGCUAAAAAUUGACGCGCCUACUCAAGUGACAACCUACAUGCCCAGGCCUCCCUCCGCGUCGAUUAAAUCCGACCAGAGGGAGUACAUGAUACUGUUUUUUUUUUGGUAUGCCUUUUUGAUCAUUUUUAUUAUUGAAAUUUUUUUUUGUCAAAGAAGAUACAUACGAAUUACCAAAAUGUCACUCUUCAGGAAAGUGCAGGAUCAUAAAAAAAACAGCCCCUUUUAGAAUCGAUCCACUAACUGUUGUUAUGUAGGCAUGUCAAGAAAACAGGCCUCAGAGUUGUAUACGCAACUAAAAGGACCUUUGGCUGUCAGUUCACAAGGAAUGGCACUUCAGGAAUGUGCACUUGCUCUUGGCAACAGAGGCACAUGCUUGUUGGAUGAAUUUUGGUGAUUAUUCUUCAAGGCAUGGAGUAAAGAAGUAUCACUAUAUCAAAGGCAGGAACUUCCCACCCUGCAAGAAAAUAAUUGCAAUGUUAUUGCGGCAGCAAAUCGAGAUGAAGGUUUUCAUCUUGCAUUACCUGGGCCUUCCGAGCAAAUCAUUUGUUGGAGGGACUUUAUCAUACACAGAUCUUGCUCUUUCAUCGGCGCUUGGUGCAGAGGUGGCGCGUGGUGAAGAGCUCAACUCCACUGAGCACCACCGCCGGCGUGGAGGAUUACGACCGCCUCGAACACGCACCAGGAGAUUAUGUAGGUCGGGAUCCAGCCCAACAUCUUCCUCUCCAACACGCUGCCGAGCACCUCGCGUUCAACGCCACCGAGCACCACCGCCAGCGUAGACGAUUUGAUCCGAUCUGGAUCUAACUUCUUGCAUCCAGGCCCUAUAAUUUUUGAGAUUAGAUUAGAGUUGAACUGAUGUAUUAGCAUCCAGGCCCCUGUAAUAUUUGAGAUAUGGAUCUCAUGUUUUUACACGCAGACCCAUGUAAUAUUUGAAAUCAACCCGCAGUUCAUAGGACGUGGUGGCCAGCAUAUACUUUUUUUAGUGAAA